rnacentral:lncRNA from 1 species
AGAUUUCUAAUGAGCCCUGGCCCGGUCUGCAGCUCACUCUGCACCUGGCUUAACCCCUUCCUGCCUGCAGGUCCUGAGUCCACCUUCAGUGGAAAAUCGCCCUGUCUAACUGCUGUAGGUAACCCUGCACGCCAUCCAUCUAUUUGGGCCGAAUCAUGUCGGGCCUGAGCGAGCUGACGUGGAACAUCGCUGCCCUUCGCUGAAAAGCUGUUUGCUAAUUCUAAAGGCCAGAAGGAUGCAUAUGCUCCAUUCGGUCAGCAAUGUGAUCAGAAUCCAUGGAAAGAGCACCAAGAAGCAGUGGGAAAGUAUGUUGGGUCAGAACUUGACCUACAUGGGAACAGGAACGGAGCCCAAGGGACAUGGUCGAGGUCAUGGGAAUGGAGGGAAGCAAACAGAAGACCCUGGGUGUACAGCCCUGUUCCGUGCUAACAGACAUGGGAGGUAGAGAUAAGAGGAGGCGAGUGGCGCUAACCAGGAGAGAGAGAACCCCGGAGAACCUGUAAGAUCCUGCUCCCGUGGGAUGUUCACCCCUUCAGAGCCUAACAGAGCUCCUCACGAUGGUCUAGACACCCCCCACACCCCCCACCCCUGCCAGGACACAUAAGAGCCAGAUGGAAAAGCCACUGACUAAAUUAAAACACACUAAUUGGGCAUUGAAUUUCUGCUGGAAAUGCCCCCUCCCAGCGUCACUGGUGAGGUACUGUGUGGGUGUCGGAUGUACGACUAAGAGGAAAUUCUUCCUUUCUGAACAAAUAAAUCAUUUGGAAC